rnacentral:rRNA from 1 species
AGCAGCCGCGGUAAUUCCAGCUCCAAUAGCGUAUAUUAAAGUUGUUGCAGUUAAAAAGCUCGUAGUUGAAUUUCGGGGUUAGUAGAUUGGUCAUGCCUCUGGUAUGUACUGGUUUCACUGAUUCCUCCUUCCUGAUGAACCGUAAUGCCAUUUAUUUGGUGUUGCGGGGAAUUUGGACUGUUACUUUGAAAAAAUUAGAGUGUUUAAAGCAAGCUAACGCUUGAAUACAUUAGCAUGGAAUAAUGAAAUAGGACGUUCGAUCCUAUUUUGUUGGUUUCUAGGAUUGACGUAAUGAUUAAUAGGGAUAGUUGGGGGCAUUAGUAUUCAAUUGUCAGAGGUGAAAUUCUUGGAUUUAUUGAAGACUAACUACUGCGAAAGCAUUUGCCAAGGAUGUUUUCAUUAAUCAAGAACGAAAGUUAGGGGAUCGAAGACGAUCAGAUACCGUCGUAGUCUUAACCAUAAACUAUGCCGACUAGGGAUCGGAUGAUGUUAAUUUUUUAAUGACUCA